CUCAGGACUUAGAUUCUUCUGUUCAGUGUCAUCUGCUUGGCUACCACUUGUCGCCCCGCCUUGUUGAAAGAUUUUUGGAUCAGACUUUCCAUUCAUUUAUCUUUUCCUUUCAAAUUCAUAUCUGCCUCAGGUUUGAGAAGCCCGCCCUGCCUGUCCUUACUCAGGUCAUUGGUGAAGAUGCUCAUUGGAGUGCUCCAGGCCUUCCCGGCACGCAGUGUCCCCUUCCUGGAGCCGGACAGAGGGCUUGAUGGUGUGCAAAGACACUCACCUCCUGUCCUCUCCUGUGGUCUCCUUAGGAGCUUGUGAUCGUCACCUUUUCUGUGAGCCACAUCCUACGCACUCAGCUUCAUUCCUUUGCUUGGUCCUCCCAACAGCCCUGUGCAGCACCCCAGAGUGGCUGAUAACUGACCCCCGGCCACACAGCAAGUAAGGAGCAGACCCUGGACCCACCUCUGGCUUGGUUGACCGCAGAGCAAGCUGAUGGACACCUCUUCCAGGAAGUGACUCCUGAGGCUGGCUCCUUCCUGCUGCAGAGUGUCAACAGUGUGCAGAGGGAGGGGCAACCUGGGUCAGGUCGGAAAACAAGGUAGAGAGGUGGGCCCUGGAGAGGCACAGACCUGUGGUACUUCCACUCCUUGGGGAGAAGAAAGGCUCUGGAGAAUGAGAGUCAGGGAGGAGUUCAGUGCCUUUGGUGCGUUGUCUUUAGAGAAUACAACACUGGGCAAAACCACCGAUUUCUCCAAACUCAAAUUGUCUCCCCAACAACCCUAAGAAUGAUCUGUGGCACAGAGAAGUUAGGACACUUGCCCUGAGUCACAAAGCUGGUUGGAGUAUAAACCAGUGUCCUCUUGAGAGUGCUUUAGCCUCUUUGCCUGUUUGCUCAUGAGCCAAUUGAAGUCCAGAAGAGGGACAAAGACACCUGCAAGUCACAUGAAUAAAAAUAGGAAACAUGACGCUCCUCACACAGCACCAAGGAUCUGUCUUAACAAGUCCUUCUGUGCAUUAAUAGUAAAUAUUGCAAGAAACCCAGCGCGGGUUUAAUCAUGAACGGCUUCAGCCUGCAGGGAGGGACAGGAGGGGGCCGGCUCCCCCAAAACCUCCUCCCUGGGCCACGGAGAGGGAGAGGGUGGUUCGCCUGUGGACUCUCGGGGCUCGCUGUCGGAGCCACCUCUCUGUUGAGGACAGAUGCGGAAUAUACUGAAGACAGCUAAAUACUGAUUCUGAGUUCUCCCUCCAUAACAAAGAUGAAGUUGGCCGGAAGAUGUUCUGAAUCAUCCUGUCGCCUCCGUUUGCUUUCCUCUGCCUCCAGGUGCAGAGACGGUGGCCUUGUCUCUCCCUAGGUGGCCCGUGGAGAGGCAGUAGUCACCGGCUCCAUGGCACCCACCGUGGUGGUGAGCUCCUCCUGGCUCCUUCCCAUCUUACGAAGGGCCCAGGGAUCCCAGGGGGUCACCAGCCACAGAUCUCCCAGCUCCAGCUGUCACAUCCCUUCAUUUAGUAUGCUCUGCACGGAAGCCCUUUAUGUUCCUCGUCGGGUUAUGAGGGCCCUAGUACCUUGCAAAUGACCCCCUCCUGCUAAAUGCUCCAAGUCCUUUUAAAGGAACCUGUGGGCCGAAGGCCACUUAGAGGCAAGUCGUCUUUGCAUGGGGAGGAAGCGGAAGUACAGAGAUCCCCAAGAUCACGCGCAUAGGAGGCGGCAGAGGGUUCCCGGGACUGGGUUGUGCUGAAUUGCUCUUCUGAGGCUGCCCCAGCAAAGUGCCACAAACCUGUGGCUGUGACAUCGGUAUUUAGCUCUGGAGGCUACAAGUCCAAAUCAAGGUGUUGGCAGGGGUGGUGCCAUUCAAGGGUUGUGAAGAAGAAUCCAUUUCAGGCCUUUCUGCCGGCCCCGAUGGCUUGCGGGCCUUUGGGGACAUUUCUUGGCUUGUAGUCUGUGCCCUCACCUUCACACGGCGGACACCCUUUCACCUUUCACUUUCAUGGUGUCCUCUCUCCGGGGGUCCUCUGUUCCCCACCCCCAAAGCUCCCCCACGUCUCCUUGUGUAGUUAAAUGGAAAAUGUUCUGCAUUCUGUGUCCAAAUGUCUCCUUUCAAUAAAGACACCAGCCAUCCGUUAGACGCCA